CAAUAGCGUAUAUUAAAGUUGUUGCGGUUAAAAAGCUCGUAGUUGGAUUUCUGCCGAGGACGACCGGUCCGCCCUCUGGGUGUGUAUCUGGUUUGGCCUGGGCAUCUUCUUGGAGAACGUAGCUGCACUUGACUGUGUGGUGCGGUGUCCAGGACUUUUACUUUGAGGAGAUUAGAGUGUUUCAAGCAGGCACACGCCUUGAAUGCAUUAGCAUGGAAUAAUAAGAUAGGACCUCGGUUCUAUUUUGUUGGUUUCUAGAGCUGAGGUAAUGAUUAAUAGGGAUAGUUGGGGGCAUUCGUAUUUAACUGUCAGAGGUGAAAUUCUUGGAUUUGUUAAAGACGGACUACUGCGAAGGCAUUUGCCAAGGAUGUUUUCAUUGA
rnacentral:rRNA from 1 species